rnacentral:tRNA from 1 species
CAGAGAAUAGUUUAAGUAAAAUAUUAGUUUUGGGGAUUAAUGAUAGGGGGUUCCCCUUUUCUCUGA